rnacentral:rRNA from 1 species
AUGGCGGCCCCGUGGUUGCUGCUCCUGCUCUGCGUGGCCGGAGGCGUCCCUCGUGUUCGUUGCCAGAGCGCGCCCGACAGCACUGAUGUCAUCAGCAUCGACUGCGGCCUCUCGGAGCAGAGCAGCUACGUGGACGAUGCCACCGAGCUGGCCUACACCUCGGACGCCGGCCUCAUCGACGCCGGCUCCAACUACAACGUCUCGGCCGAGUACAUCGACCAGUCCCACUGGAGAAGCCACCGGCAGGUGCUCAGCCUCCGCAGCUUCCCCGGGCCACCGGGGCGGCGCGGCUGCUACACGCUCCCGUCCUUCGUGGCGGGGACGUCCAAGUACCUGGUCCGGGCCACCUUCAUGUACGGCGACUACGACGGUCUCAACAAGCCCCCCAUCUUCGACCUCUACCUCGGCGUCAACUUCUGGAAGACGGUGAACAUCUCGAGGCCCGACGCGGUGCACGUCGCGGAGGUCAUCGCCGUCGUCCCGGACGACUCCGUGCAGGUCUGCCUGGUGAACACGCGGUCCGGGACGCCCUUCAUCUCGUCGCUGGAGCUGAGGCCGCUCAAGGACACGCUGUACCCGCAGGCGAACGCGACGCAGGGGCUGGUGCUCCUCGGCCGGCACAACUUCGGCGCCGCCGAUCUGAUCAGGUACCCGAACGACACGUACGACCGUGCGUGGACCCCGUACACCAACCCGGAGGACCAGUGGACUACCAUCUUGACGUCGUCCAGGGUGGCCAUGGAGGUGGAGGAUCGCAAGCCGCUCUACGACGUGCCCUCGGUGGUGAUGCAGACUGCCGUCCGGCCGAGCAACACCACCAGGAACGUCAUGUGGUUCCCCUGGGACGCCGAGCCCAACCACGUCUAUCCCAUGCCUGGGCUCCUGCCUGUCUUCUAUUUGGCGGAGCUGGAGACCGUGGACAGCAAGCAGGAGCGGCGUCUGUUCCUCAUCAGCCUCAACCGGCCCAACUCCUCUCCUUCGUGGCUCAUAGGCGACUUUGAUUACCUUGUCACCACCGUCGUCUCCAGGACUACCGGACGACCCGUCCCGUUCGUCAGCCCCAAGGAGAACCUCGUCAUACUAGGAACCACCAACGCCACGACACUGCGACCGAUCAUGGAGAUCAACUCCACAAUACUACCGCCAUUCAUCAACCCCGCAGAGCUUUUCACCCCUAUUUCCACCGCCGGGGUUGGGACCGACGCUCAGGAUGUAUCUGCCAUCACUGCAAUCAAGGCUAAGUACCAGUUGAUCAAGAACUGGGUGGGUGACCCAUGCGCCCCAAAGAACCUAGUGUGGGAUGGGCUGAACUGCAGCUAUCCCAUCUCCAGACCUCAGAGAAUCACAAGCGUAAACAUGUCAUUUGGCGGUUUGAGUGGUGAUAUAUCAUCAUACUUUGCCAAUCUCAAAGCUAUCCAGUACCUGGAUUUGUCACAUAAUAACUUGACUGGAUCAAUUCCUGAUGGUCUUUCACAACUACCCUCUCUCGUGCUACUAGAUUUGACAGGCAACAAGCUUAGUGGAACGAUUCCGUUCGGCCUUCUGAUACGAAUUCAAGAUGGCAACCUAACUCUUAAGAUAUGA